GUGCUGUCCACAAGGAUUCAAAGACCAGUUGUUACUGAGGGCUCUGCCAAGAGGCACAAUUUAGCCCUAAUCUGGGCAGUGUGGAAAACACCAGUGAGGACAGAGCAGUAACAUGAAGGGACCUAGAGGAGACAGAAAGGUUACAUCAGAGUCAUCAGAGCAAGAAUCCUUCACUUCAGCCUUUCACAGCCCCAGAGCGCUAUAAAUACUGGGACUCUGUCUUCAUCUGGCCCAAACUCUCCAACUCACUCUGCCUGGUGUGUCUUCCCUGGAGGGAGGGAGUGAUACUGAGAUCCUCAGCUAUGAGGAGCAUGUACCUGCUUUUUGCGGUUGGUGUCCUCCUCUUCCAGCUUGCUCCAGGGUAUGGUCAAAUGAAAGAAAUCCCUGCCUGUGUUUCUGUCGACGGCUACUGCGUGGAGGCUUUCAAGAUGUGUCCCUCAGGUGAAUACCUGCUUGGAAUCUGUGCUGAUUUCAUUAUGAGAUGCUGCAAAAAAUAAAGAACCUGCUGCUGAAAUCCUGGAGGGAGGAGCUCAGCUCAUGGCAAGCAAUAUUCACAAUCUUUUUUAAAAAGACAGGCUGUUAAAUUGUCCGUUUUUAAUAAGGA